CAUCCUCAAAACCUUCUUGGUUUCUUGACCAGGAAGGCUUUUGGACUUUGGAGGCUUUUGCUGGCCUUCCUUUGUUGGAGCCAGCUCCUCUGAAAUGAAUUAGUGGGGUCUGCUUUGCCGAUCCUUGACGUGAUAAGAUGUUUUCUACGUCUUGGGUUUCGCACUGUUCCCCGCUUCUAACUGUCUCAUAGAAGACAAUGGUCAAGUGAUCGCCACUUGACCCACAAA
rnacentral:misc_RNA from 1 species